AAGCACUCGAUACUAACCAAGCUGUCUGUAUCCCAGCUCUUGUACUGAGAUCUGAGGUAUACUUUGUGAUAGCUGGGUCUGAGAAGUGCGAUAUUAAAAUAAGCCAUGAAGUAUUUAAGCUCAGUGUAUAGAGGAAAACACUGGGUUAUAACUCAGAGGCACAGAU
rnacentral:snoRNA from 1 species